CCCGUCUCUACCAGGUAAGCGGUCUCUCGAGAUAACACAGCUCUCUUCCGGGGGUUGACCCGGUAGGGAUGCUGCUUAACGGGAGCGUGAUCACCAACGUCGAUAUCAUGUUCUCCAGCAGGGGUACGCGAAGGGGUAUCAGCGAACAGGGGUCGGAAGCGAUCUACUAGGGACAAAAUGUCAGUUUGGGCUGACCCAGGUAAGUGGCUGAGCCGGGACGUAAGGUUUUGCAGAGCCUCUGAGUUAGGAAGGCGAGCACAGGGGAGACAAUUCCUACCGAGGUGUAAGUCAUCAGUCUCUGGUGAGUACUUACUGAGAGACACGACGCCCACAGGAGCGGGGACCGGAACAGAAGUAGGCGAGGGGACGGGGACCGAGCGAUCAAGAGACUGUCGAGCCAAUUCCCUAGCUGUAGACAUCCGGUCCCGAAGGGAUUUCACAAACUUGGACACAUCCUGCGUAGAGGAGGACGCAUCGGGGGAUAACCACUGCUCCUGUAACGCCUUCAGGGGACCUCGAACAGUGUGGCCAAAGACAAGUCCAGCAGGACUAAACCCGGUCGAUUCUUGGACAGCAUCGCGUAUUGCAAAAAGUAGAAGGGGCACUCCCUCAUCCCACUCUCUCCCUGCAUCUAAACAAAAGCGGAGGUACGACACGCUUCCAAUGACAAAUCCUCCGCCUGUGCCUUGGUCAAAGCGUCCGUAGUGGAAGGGACCUCAGGGGACACAGCAGGUUCCACGGAGACCAGGGAGUCCGAGUCACAAGUCGAAGGUGUUGGGUCGGACAUAAAUGUCUCAGCCAGCUGAACGUCGGCGAACUUGCACUGCUGGGCCCGUGUCAGCACACAAGCCGGGAACACCUGGGGCAGUUCCGCCGCAACGUCAUCGGCGCAGAUCUCCGGCUCUGGGGCAACUUCAGGAAGGGGAACGAUCCUUUUCCCCGCAAUGUCAUUCCCCAGAAUGAACGUGACCCCUGGAACAGGUGGUGAAUAAGAAGCGGACGAAGGAGAGGAUAUCACAGGACGGGAACCGAGUUUGCGAGGCAAAGGGGUUGGGGUAAACACAGUCUUAUGGGUCAGAAUAAAUUCAUCAGCCAGAGUAGCAGCUAAAGCUAAACAUGUUACCUUUUGUUCAUUCAAGUAUACUACUACCCGAUCAUGAACACAAUUUUUAAAUUCCUCUAACAGCAAUAGUUCCUUGAGUUGCUCAAAGUUGGUAACACCACACGCAGCACACCACUUGUCAAACAACAAAGCUUUCUCACGGGCAAACUCAACAUGGGUUUGGCUGGCGGUUUUAACCAGCUUCCGGAAAUUCUGCCGGUAAGCCUCAGGUACUAAUUCAUACGCCCUUAAUACGGUAGCCUUAACAAUGUCAUAAUCAAGACUCUGGGCUAACGCCAGAGCCGAGCAAACUUCCUGAGCUUUCCCCACUAACUUGCAUUGCAGAAGCAAUGACCACAAAUGUCUAGGCCAGUUCAAGGUCGUAGCAAUCUUCUCAAACAUAGCGAAGUAAGCAUCCACCUCAUUCUCCCGAAACACAGGAACAAGAGCGAUAUGGCGACUAACAUCAAAGUCAGAAUUUCUACCUCCAAUUUCCUGGGAGACUGGUGAACCUGAGGGAGAACGAAGGCUAGACCGAGGAGCGUCUGGGGCAUCAGCCUGGUCACGGGCGGGCAGGUCGGCUUGAGGGGUUGUACGUGGUGAUUGUACUCGACGCGGAAGGGGAACAGGUUUUUGUUCACCCAUACCCAUUCUGCGCAGUGCCACCUCCUUGUCAGCUUCAACCUCCACUUCCCGGACACGGAGUAACUGAGCCUGGUACUCCUGCCUUUUAAUCUCCAGUUCCAGCUCCCUAAGUCGAAUUGUCAGCAGCAGAUCCUCCCUGGCUGAGCGUGGAUCGCCGAGAUCCAUGCGGA